CCCAGACUGAUCCUUUGCAUGGAUUUUGCUGCGCCUGUUUCCAAGGCUUAGAGCUCUUUAGGAGGUCUUGUUAUAAAUAUUCAGAUGUACAGAUUUUUAAUGAAGAGUUCGGUGGAUGCAUUCUAGAGGAUAAAUGGUCUGUGAAUGGAAACUUUUCUUCCUCAGAGUACAUCAACGUAGCAAUUGCUUGUAUGAAAAACUCUCCGAGACUCAAAUAAAGAGCAGCAGGAUGAGCUCCAAGGCCAGUAAGCCACUUGUAAAUACAAGUGGGCAUAGCAGCUCACAGAAGGCAGCCCAGUAUUUGUGCUGUUCUAAAGGCAUUGGGAACCAGCCAGCAGCUGAGCAGCAGCUAUUUGCAGAACUUGAAGAUCUGCUCUUCCUUCUGCUUCUCUGCAAUUUGUCUCCAUUCCUAGACACCUGGUUCACACCCCCCAUACUCUGAUGAGCCACUCUUGGGCUACCGUUUCUUACAGCUGGCUGCUUUCAGCUGUUUCAAAUCUGGGCUGGAAUCACCUGGCUUUAAUUUAAGUAGCAAACAAAGGCAGCCUUCCCUAUGGGUGUGCUUUAGUUUCAUUGGGGUUGAGUUCCACAAAGAAGAAGUGCGCUGAGUGUGAUGCUUUAACAAAAGCAGCAUACGUCCUAACAAGAAAUAAGGUCCUCUGCUGCUUUCUUCAUAUUGCCAUGCUGUCUUCAAAGGGCGCAUGGACAUCCAGGAGAUGGAUGCUCUGCAAAGCACCUAUGCCUGCAGGGAAAGCCGAAGGCGAAGAGCUGUGUCCUGGUGGCUAUUGCUUCUGUAACAACCACUCAGAUGAGAGAAGCUGAGAUCUUCCUGCUACCAUGGAAAGAAUCCUAGGGAAGAAGACCCAGGGAGAAGGGAGUUGAGAGGUGAGCUGUUCCAAUGAGUGCUGUGCGCCAUCACCAAUGCUUCAGAAGGAAGUAUGGCCUGCCCUCAGUCCUCCUCUGAGCCAACAAGAAAAUCAAAUAUACUAUUUUUAAAGGACUUCCCACGUUUUCCUCAGUGCCCCCGUGCUGCAGCUCUUCUUCAGGCUGGAAUGGUUGGGGUUCCUUCUGCAUCCAUCUGAUGUAGUGGCAUCUCAAAGGCUUUGCGCAGGUGUCCCUUGCUCCCAAGAGGAUGCUAUCAGGGGACAGCAGUGUCCAUGUCAAAUGUACAGACCUGAGGGCCAAAGGGUAAUUAAAAACAUCAUGAAAGUAAUUUGGUCGCUGAACCUGCUGUGGGUCCUGGGCAUCUUAAGGAGCAAAUACCACCAUGGUUUUUUCCCCUCAGGAAUACAAGGCUAACAGGACAACAGCUCAUCUGUGCAAAGCCCUGACUGCUCUCAAUUUGAAAAAAGCCUGUAGCUGAAUCUGCUGCAGUUUUAUAACACAACCACUAUUAAUGUAGCUGUCCAAACAGUUUGUAGGUUAGGGAAAAGAGAAAACUGCAGUACCAGUUCAUUUGUAGGAAGAUCGGAGGAGCAGCACCAGUGCCAUGUCUACAUGCCUUGGAGGGACCUGCUGUGCCAUACAACCAGCACACUUCCUCUACUGAUAUAUAGAGAGUUUAUAUGCAUAUAUAGGUAUGCAUCAGUGUCACAAAGAUUGUAAAAGGAUGGGGGCGUCUAAUGCACUGGUGAUGCAGUGGCACAGCUGCGCUGGAGUGGUGGGGUCACCAUCCCUGGAGGUGUUUCAGAACCAUGGAGAUGUCGCACUGAGGGAUGUGGGCAGCGGGCAUGGUGAGCUGGGCUGGGGUUGGGCUCGGGGGUCUUGGAGAGCUUUUCCUGAAUGAUUCUGUGAGCCUAUGAUCUCUCAUAGAAGGACAGGCUGAGAGAGCUGCACUGCUCAGCCUGGAGAAGGCUCAGGGGGAUCCCAUCCACAUGUAUAAAUACCUGAUGGGGGCAAUAAGAUGGAACCAUUCUCUUCUCAGUGUUGCCCCAAUGAGGCAACAGGACAGGAAGCAAUGGACAAAGAUGAAAAUAAAACAAAAGUAACAAAAAAAUCCUACAAAAACAAACAAACAAACAAAAAAACAGCAAAAUCAAUCAGGAAAUUCCAUUUAAACAUAAGAAAAUCCUUCUUUAAAUUGCCACCUUGUUUGAACAUGGGAGCAGUUGCACAUUGAGGUGGUGGAUUCUCUGUCCCUGGAGAUGGACAACGCCAGGCUGGAAGCACUGGACAACCUGCUCCAACCAGCCCCGCUCUUUUUGGACCAGACAGUCUCUAGAGCUGCCUCCAGACUCAGUGCAUUUAUUUUAUGUUUCUGUAAUGAUUCUAUAAACUUUGUUUUUCCAAAAACGAUAGUGGGUUUAUCCUGCACAACUUUUAAAUCUGGUAGCUUGUUACAUUUUGUAGCUUCAUUUUGGUCCAUGGGAAGCAUAUUCCUGUGGAUGAAAGAGAUGCAGGGUUUAUUAAUCUGUCCAUUUUACAUUAACUAUCUGGGCAAAAUGAUAGGCAUUUCUUAUUUGAAACUUGUUAUAAAGAAACAUAUGGUCACGUACAUGAAGUGAGAAUAAUUUCAAGUUUGAAAUUCCAUCUAGACGCAGACAUGAAUACCCAAUAGCAACAAAGGAAAUUUGAAAGCAGUUUAGACUAAGCCUGGGGUAUAAUAAUCUGCAAAUGAAAUGCAAAUUCCUCUCAGCAGGAGUGCAAUAUGCUGUUGUCUCAACAGGGGUACUAUUUACUGUUGCUUUGGAAACGUGCAGGAGGGAAGCAUGGGCCAUUGCUUCGACAGAGGGUAAAGGCAGCUUGUACCUUUCUUCUGCUUGAAUUCCAAACCUGGCUUUUGGAAGUGGGCUGUUCACCCUAAUAGGAUGGGUUGUGCAAUAAUUAACAGUAAUUGCAUUCAUAUAAAGUCCUGUGGAAACCUCUGCUCACUCCUGGCCCUUCAUAUCACACAUCAGAACUGCCUUCCUGAUUCCCAACUUAACGCAGUCUUAGAGAUAUCCUCAUUGGGGAGCGAUGCUUAAACACUCCUACAUUCAUUAGAGCUGAACUAUCACUGUACUUCUGACAUCUCUCCAUUGCUGCUGGAUUGCUGGUAAGCAGCUUGACGGCUCUUUCAUCCACAAACAUUCCUCCCUUCAGCUGCUGGUACACAGCACUGUGCCUGGAAACCUUUCACACCUCCAUCUUUAUGGCCACAUAGAAGAAUCGUGUAACUAGAACUGCAAUCUGCAGCCGAUUGCAAUAGAAAAGGAAAUUAGUAUCCUGCAUUUAAUUAAUAUUUGUACUGAGAGAAUUGUUAAAAUCUAGCCAGCUGUUACCAUCCCUUUCAUUACUUUAAAUGUUGAUAACAUUUGUCUCAUACCAAAAAUACUUCAGCAACCAAAGCACUCAUGAAGACCGAUGGUGGAAAUUGAAAGAGAUUGUAUUUAUCACAGCAUCAAAGCUGCAAAUGCAGUGAGUGUGGAUGGGGGCGAGUUCUACUGUGCCAUACAACAGAAUCAGUACCAUUGCUCAGUGCUCCAAUAUUCUCAGAAAGAAAUGACUCCCAUGUUCAGAGAAACCAAACUUGUUUCUAAAGUGACAUAAAUUGUCAUUUCUUAAGUGAUCAGGCAAAAAAGUUAGAAGAAUAGUAACAACAAAAGACUGUCUGGAGAUACACUGUUGUUGUGUUUUAGUGAUUGUUGUUGUCAGUAUUUAACAUUAGAACAUCAUGCAGAACAAUGGCAGUUAAGGUUCUGGUUCCAUGUUACCGCCUUUUUGGGCAUUUUGUGUUCCCGGAGGGGAGGAGCGGCAUCCCCAGCGGACUUGGACAGAAGAGGAAGUAAGAUGGAGCUCUGGACUGGACCCCAGCCGCUCUCUGCCUCUGGCCGUCUUAGCCUGCCGUGGAGAAAAGCACGUGCUUCCCUAGCACUAUCGUGGUUUGACUCGUGCUUUAAAUACUCUCGGCUCUCUCAUUUUGUUUGAUUAAAUUUAGUAAAAUACCAUUCCUCCUCAG
ensembl:lncRNA